CAGACCAAAUCCAUUCUCUGGGAGAAAGGCUGGCAUUUAAAAAAGUCAUUAGUUUCCAGCAAGAAGGUUUUAAAGGUUGGUUUCCUUUCUUUUCACUCAUUUGCUGGGGCAAAGCUUACAAGUUGUGAGUUACAGUUGCUCGAGUUGAAUUUAUACACUAUUUCUGCCAUUUGCAUGUAUCUCACUGGAUGCUAGGUCUUUAACGCAACUUGUUGAAAGAUGCUGAAUGUGCAACGGUGCUAAAAUGUUUGCGGUCAAACUGAUGCUGGGCUGUGUAUGUUCUCUGUUUAGGGAAGAGAUGAAAUCUAUCUUUUAGAAACAGCCCCUCUAUUCCUUCAGAUAUAUGUUAUUGUUUAAAUGUGUGAAGUUUACAUUUCACUUAAUUCCGUGCUCACUGUCUUUAUCCACUCACUCAUUCAUAGUAUGUAUUAUGUUCCAGACACUGCUCUGGAGAUCUGGAGUGGGACGAUGAACAGGGCAGUGGUUGGGUCAUCCCAGGAAAACCCGGGAGAGACCCGGGGAACAAACCUCGCCUCUCUGAGGUCUGAGACUGGGGGAGAGGAGAUGGACAGAAAGCUUCUGGGAGGAAGUGACAGGAGGCCUGCAGAACGACCCAGUGAAGAGUAAGGGAAAAGGGUGGACGCAGAAGGAACUCCUGAUAUGUAGGCCCUGAGACUUGAAGGGCGGUGUGGGUUUGAAACUCAAGAGUAGGAAGAUGAGUAAAGCUGUAGCUAGGAAGACUCGGGCGUUACAGUGGCGAAGAAAAAAGACAAGUCUGGAAAAGCCAACAGGAGCCAGAUCGUGAAGACUUUAUAAAACUAUGUAGUAAAUGUAUUAUGUGUAUGAAUUAUACACUUAUAUCCCGUCGCAUUGGGUUUUGAGGUGGGUGGAAAAUUUUUGUUAACUAAUCCGUGCCUGGGGAACAACUGUACGUUUAUUCCUUUCCACAUAUUCUUAAAUGCUUUUAUCAGUUUAAUGCUUCUAUCAAUUUAAUGUUAUAAUCCAAACAAUCACCAUUUACCUUAGGAAAUUCUUUUUUUUUUCUUUUAAGAUUUUCUUUUGUUUUUUAAUUUUUUUUUAAUGUUUAUUCGUUUUUGAAAGACAGAGAGAGGCAGAGCACAAGCAGGGGUGGGGCAGAGAGAGAGACGCAGAAUCUGAAGCAGGCUCCAGGCUCUGAGCUGUCAGCAGAGCCCGACGCGCGGCUUGAACUCGGGAACCGUGAGAUCAUGACCUGAGCUGAAGUCAGAUGCUCAACUGACUGAGCCACCCAGGCGCCCCAAGAUUUUAUUUUUAAGUAAUCUCUACACCCAAGUUGGGGCUCUGACUUAGAACCCCAAAAUCAAGAGUCACAUGUUCCACUGACUGAGCCAACCAGGUGUCCCAGGAAAUUCUUUCACAGUCUAAUGAGCACCCUUUUGGGUAUAUAUUUACUAAAUCAUUUGCUGUUAGUUAAUAUUUAAAGGACACCAUUAAAUGAAUUUUGUUUUUUAAGUUUAUUUAUUUUGAGAGAGAGAGAGAGGAAGGGGCAGAGAGACAGAACACAAGUGGAGGAGGGGCAGAGACAGAGGGAAAGAGAAUUCCUGACAGUGCAGAGCCUGAUGCGGGGCUCAAACCCACGAACCUGUGAGAUCAUGACCUAAGCUGAAAUCAAGAGUUGGACACUUCACUGAUUAAGCCACCCAGGCACCCCACCAUUAAAUGAUUUUUAAGGUUCCUUUUAACUUCAAAAUUCAUACCUAACUUUCAAAAUUCAGAUUUUACCUGAAACUCACAAUAUUUUAUCCUCUCAAAGAUAUUGGAGAGCACUGAAGAUACACUAUUAAGUACUGUAAUUAUCUAUAACUACAAUUAAACUAUUGUCAGUAUGAUAUUAACAAUGUUGUCAUUAUCUAAGAAAUUGUAAGCCUUGCGUUUACAUGACACCUUUUGUUAGUGACGGGUUUCAAAGAACAUUUUACAGCUACAGUUGAAUGUACCAUCAGUAAAUUGAUUGAAAGGAAGGAUCCUUCUUAAUUGCUGUAAGGAUAAGACAUAUACCCAAGGACACCCCAAGGAACUGCGAGAGUCAGUCUUAUCCAUUCUGUUUCCACACACUUAGGUUUCUAUUACUCUUCAGAAUGACCUUUAUUAACUGAAUCAUUAAAAUCCAAUAAACAUAAACUCUUCAGACCUCACAACUGGUUCAUACUCUGGCCAUGGGCAGAGGAGGACAGGGGCUACCACUAUUAUACAGAAUAAUAAUAAAUCAAUGAGCCGAGAAAUGACUCCCCAGGGUAAUGGCAAAUUAAGUUCACAACCUUGGGCUGUUCAGAGUGGUUUUGGCUCUUGGCUCACACAUUUAUAUCUUUAAUUAUUUUCUUCCUAAACUAACUACACUGUUGGAAAGAUAACCCACAUAUGAAAUAACACGGGAAAUAUACAUCAAAUUUUUUUCUUGAUUUGUUUUUAGAAAAUAUUGAAGUUCAACAGUACUGUCUCUUUCCUAAUUUCCUAGUGAGUGACAAUACCAAAAGGUAGCUUUGGGGUCCUUACCCUGGCUUUCAUGAUCUUUCCUAACCCCACCAAAUCACCCUAAGCAGACACACAAUCGGUGUUUAUCAAAUGCAACAUCAAGAUAAGCCCCCAGCUCCCACUUAGGACCCUGUUGAACUGCCUACUCUCUGUGUAAAAAAACUGGGGUCCAGGUUAGACCAGGCAGCAGCUGACUGACACAUACCUGCCCUUUAAAAGAAGUGCUCAAUGGGGAUCUAAGUUCUUCCAAUGACUAAGAGACUGAGGCAUUCGCUUAAAGGACUGAAGCCUUCUCCAAACCUGUUUUUCUACUGGUCUAUCAUCUUUGAUGGGAUGACACCAUCUUCUCAGUCAUUCCAGCUGGAAAUGCAAGAGUCAUCCUUUACUCCUCCGUUCCACUCACUACCCCUCGCACCACCCCACCCACCAGCGUGCCUGUUUAUUGCACCUUUAAAAUACACCCGAACGUGCACCUUCCCCUCCCUGUUGGAAUCACCGGAUUCCAAGCCACCAUCUUGCCAAAGCCAUGAACGGAGCCUUCCCUGAUAUCUGCAGUUCCUCUCCUCUGCCCCGUCUGUGCUCUACCUGGAAGCCAGAGUGACCGCUUCAAAAUAACAUAUUACCUCGUGCCACUCUUUUGCCAAAAGCCCUCUAGAGUUGUCGUAAUGAUCUAGUUGCUUCUUCAAACUUACCAGGUGUAUGAUAGAUAAUUAUGCCUCAAGCCUGUGGGUGUUUUACUCCCUUAAACAUAACAAGCUCCUUUCAGGGCGGUGAGUCUUUGCACAAACUUUUCUCCCCUCCUGUUCUGAGGGUGUUCCGACAGGUCUGACUCAACAACUUCUGGUCUAAGCUUAGCCAUCUCCUCCUUUUCUUCUUCUUUUUUUUUUUUUUUUUAAGAUUUCUUUUUAAGUAAUCUUUAUACCCAACGCAGGGCUCGAACUCAAAAAAUCCUGAGCUCAAGAGUCACAGGCUUUACUGACUGAGCCAGCCAGGCGCUCUAUAGCCGUCCCCUCAUUGAAUCCCUCCCUUACACCCUAAAGUAGGUAGUGCCCCCUUCCUCAUGUUAUUCCUACCUUUGCGGUUUUUCUCUUCCUGAUCGCAAUUGUAAUUCUUGUGUUAAUUUAAAAAAAAAAAAUCUGUUUUCUCCACCAGAUUGUAGGAUUGUGGAAAAGGGCCCUGCCUGCCAUUCUGGCCCUGGUGCCUGACGGGAAGUAAGCCCCGAAGAAGCAUUUAUUGAAUGGCUGGCACGGCUGUUAACAGCUGAAUGCCUUAUCUAACUUUAUUUCCUUGAGAACGAGGUGUAGUUAAAACCAAAAGCCAUUUUGCUCUGCCACAGAAAGGGCUGUGCUCCAGAGGAAUCUGAAGUGGAGAUUGUUUCAGGUCAAGUUCAUUCAACUCAGGCGCUUGUAAAUGUUAGCUUGGUUACACACACGGCCUUCCUUUUCACCAGCCUCAAGGAGACGUUUCGAGAAUCUCAUUUUAUCCAAUAAAAUUAAGGAAACGGGCAAGCCAUCUUAUAUUUGAGACCAAAGGCUCCCCAGAUCAUCCACCCAGCAAAAUCUGCUCACUGCCAUGAGAUACUGGUGUGUUCAUUACCUAAGAGACUGGUACGAAUUUAACAGUAAUUACAUAAGCCCAGGAUCGUUUUUUUAAAAAAUCUGUUUAGCAGGGUUUUUUUUUCUCAAGUAGUCUUGACCCCUAAAGAAUAUUAAUUCCAUCAAUUAGGUUAUAAUUUAAAUAUUAUCAUUAAGAAAUGCACAUAUCCCUCUCUCUCUGCCCCUCCCCCUCUCAUGCUCUGUCUCUCCAAAAGAAAUAAAUGUUAAAAAAAAUUUAAAAAAAGGAAAGAGGGGCGCCUGGGUGGCGCAGUCGGUUAAGCGUCCGACUUCAGCCAGGUCACGAUCUCGCGGUCCGUGAGUUCGAGCCCCGCGUCGGGCUCUGGGCUGAUGGCUCAGAGCCUGGAGCCUGUUUCCGACUCUGUGUCUCCCUCUCUCUCUGCCCCUCCCCCGUUCAUGCUCUGUCUCUCGCUGUCCCAAAAAUAAAUAAACGUUGAAAAAAAAAAAUUAAAAAAAAAAAGGAAAGAAAUGCUUAUAUAAACCAAGUUCAAAACUUACGAAAAAAAAAAACAAUUUCAAAGCAACAUCUUUUAAAUAGCUGUAGUUUCAAAUCCCCACCAAAAGGCUAAAAUCAUGGCAAUCCUGACCCCCGGAUGCUCAGCCAGCCCCGGAAAGGGGGCAGAUCGACUUGAUGGUUGCCGCUGGGUCGCACCAGGAGCUCGGGUUCACCUCAGCAUUAUUCCUCGGCCAAGUCUAUUCCUGCUAACUUGGAUUUUACCUCCUCUGGACGGGAAAAGGGAGCGCUGUUUGGACGCGCCUCCUCGCCUCCUCUCCGGAGGACCCGCCCGGUCACACCCAGGAGCUGGGCGAGCCAACCAGGCUCCAGGAGGGGUUUGUGCACACCCGCAUCAACCCGGAAUGGCCUGCAUGACUCAUGGAGGACCGAAGGUGGUGCGAACUCCUCACCGAGUAAACAACUCACAACCCUGUUCUUGCAUUUUUGUGCUCGCAGGGCUGGUGACGAGCCAGGGGCGUAGAUGCUUAUGGUUGGGAGCCUCCAGCUGCACUGGGGGGUUGGGGGGGGCAUUUCUCUCCUGGGAGGUUGAAGGAAGGGAGGAGGCAUUCCUUUCUCCUAGACCCCAGGUGCCAGUUCUUGUAGCUGUGCCCUGUCCCCUUUCAGGUUGUCAGGGACCCUUCUCUGGUCUUGUGUCUUAGGAACACGGUCUCUCGUUCUCCUCUCCUGCCUCCCAGUCUCAGUCUGGAAUGCACUCACUGCCCACCCGUCUAUUGGUUAAAAAACAAGUCUUGGGGCCCCUGGGUGGCUCAGUCGGUUGAGCGUGGGACUUAGCUCAGGUCAUGAUCUCACGGGUUCGUGAGUUCGAGCCCCACGUUGGGCUCUAUGCUGACAGCUCAGAGCCUGGAGCAGGUUUCGGAUUCUGUGUCUCCCUCUCUCUCUGCCCCUCCCCCACUCACGCUCGGUCUCUCUCUCUCUCUCUCUCUCUCUCAAAAAUAAAUGCUUAAAAUUAAAAAAAAACCAAAACAGUGUUUAUAAAAAAAAAAAAAACAAGUCUUGCAGGGGCCUGGGUGGCUCAGUUGGUUAAGCAUCCAACUUCCAGCUCAGGUCAUGAUCUCAUGGUUUGUGAGUUUGAGCCCCCCACCCCCACCCCCGCAUUGGGCUCUCUGUUUCUUAGCACACAGCCCGCGUUGGAUCCUCUGGCCCCCUCUCUCUACCCCCCCCCAAAAAAUAAACAUUAAAAAGAAAAUUUUAAAAACGGAAAACAAGUCUUGAACUUCACUGUCUCUUGGAAACGUUGCCUAUUUCCCAUCUCGCAACCUAAAUCAGAGUGACUUUCUCCCUCUUGGGUUCUGGGUCUGAAUUUUAUUAAUACUUUUAUUAUUCUAACAUGUUGUAACCGAUAUAUAUUUAUCUGUUCAACUCUCCCAUUAGAAGUUAACUUGAAAUGGAUCGAGAGAUCAAACAUAAGACCUGAAAUUUUAAAAUUCCUGGAAGAGUGGUGCUGGGUGGCUCGUUGGUUAAGUGUCCAGCUUCGGCUCAGGUCAUGAUCUCAUGGUUCGUGAAUUUGAGCCCCGUGUCAGGUUCUGUGCUGACAGCUCAGAGCCUGGAGCCUGCUUCAGAUCCUGUCUGUGUCUCUCUGCCCCUCUCCUGCUUGCUAACUCGCGUGCGUGCUCUCUCUCUCAAAUAUAAAUAAACAUUAUUUAUUUUACAUUUAUUAAUUUUUGAGAGACAGAGCACAAGUGGGGGACAGGCAGAGAGAGAAUGAGACACAGAAUCUGAGGCAGGCUCCAGGCUCCGAGCUGUCAGCACAGAGCCCGACGCGGGGCUCGGACUCACGAACCGUGAGAUCAUGACCUGAGCCGAAGUCGGACGCUUAACCGACUGAGCCACCCAGGUGCCCCAAGUUUUCUGUUCCUUUUUAAAAAGCUUUUGACGGGUGCCUGGGUGGGUCAGUCAGUUAAGUGUCUGGCUUCAGUUCAGAUCAUGAUCUCAUGGUUUCUGAGUUCAAGUCCUGCUCAGUGUAGAGCCUGCUUCAGAUCCUCUGUCUCCCUCUCUCUACUCCUCCCCCACUCUCUUUCUCUCUCUCUCUCUCAAAAAUAAACAUUAAAAACAUUUUUUGAGAUAGAUACUAACCUUAUUGUUUUUCAGCCUACUUUUUCAAAUAUGUGCACUGAAGACUGUGAAUUUCCCUCCAAGCCCAGAUUUAACCAAAGUCCCCACGUUUUUAUUUUUUGUGAAGUUGUAUUAAAGCAUGACAUGUGCGCAAGAAAGUGCCCGGUAUUAAAUAUACAGGUUGAUGAAUUAUCCCAAAGUAAACACACCUGUAACCAGCUGAUAACCACACUUGUAACCCAAAUCAAGAAACAGCUAUUAGUUAUUUCAAAGCUUGAGUCUCAUAAUAUUGCCUGUUCCUUUAAAGUUCAUGCCGGAUCAUUCCAACACCUGAAUCACUUAUAGGUUCGUCUCUCUUUUCUGUUUUUCAGUUGUUUGGUCACGUAUCUUGGCAUUCCUGUUUUUUUUUUUUUUUAUUGAACACUCAACACUCUUUGUGAAAAUCGUAGAGGUCUUGGUAGUCGUUAUCCAUAGAGGAUUUCAUUUACUUUCGUCAUCAGUUAAUGAUGGCUGAGGGUGGUCUAUUUUCAGUUUGCAUUUAUUCUUAGGAUGUAGCCAUUUCAGGGAUCUGAGCUGAAAACUCGGGGUCUUUACUAGUGCCCUUCCCUUUCAGCAGGCCUUCUGAUUCAUUUUGGCUCCCAGCACCUAACACCGCCCAGACUUCUGCUCUUCUGUGGUCGGCAAGUUCCUCAAGUGGGUCUCAGGGGGCUCAAUGUCUGUGCUCCCUUUUCUCUAGGGAGAAACCACCCCUUAAGCCUUGGUUGUUUGGGGGGAAUUCAACCCAGUGUUUUUGUCUCCCAGCUCAGUGUGCCCGUUCAAAACUCUAUGAUAUUGCUUUGUGUUUGUCAUCCACGACCCAGUGAUGAUUCAGCAAAUGCCAAAGGUCCAAUGUAGGGGGAUGUAUGGCCAACUUCACUAUGAGUUAACAGUGCAGAGCCCGCUUGGGGUUCUCUCUCUCUCCCUCUCUCUCUACCCCUCCCCUGCUCGAAUGCCUCUCUCUGUCUCUCUGUCUCUCAAAAUAAAUCAACUUAAAAGAUGGGGCGCCUGGGGACUCAGUGAGUUGGGUGUCCGACUUCGGCUCAGGUCAUGAUCUCAUGGUCUGUGGGUUCGAGCCCCACGUCGGGCCCUGUGCUGACAGCUCGGAGCCUGGAGCCUGCUUCAGAUUCUGUGUCUCCGUCUCUCUCUGCCCCUCCCCAAUUCCCACUCUGCCUCUCUCUCAAAAAUAAAUAAACUUUAAACAAAAUUUAAAAAGAAAUGAAAAGAUCUACGUCCUGAUUUCAGUGGCUCAGAUAGUUGUAAUGAUAGGAUAUUUCAGGAUUAGCUUGUCCCCUCUGUGAAUUGUGAGGUGGGCUUUUCAGAUUGGACGUAGUCUCCUUGGGCACUAUAGCUACAUGAAUAUGCACCUUGUCCUAACUUAUGCUUAUGCAUUCUGUUCUGUGUGUGUGUGUGUUAUUUUUUUUUUUUUGAAAAUGUUCAGAGUCCUAGAACAGUUCAAAGUUAUACAAUGAACACUUCCAUACUCUUCACAUGGAUUUGACUGUUUACAUUAUGCCAGAGUUGAUUUCUCUCUUUCUCUUCCUUCCCAGAUACACACACACACACACACACACACACACACGCACACUUUUUGAACCAUUUGAAAGAUGCACACACCAUAAUACUUCAGUCCUCAACACUUUAGCAUGUUUUUCCUAAGAACCAGGACAUUUUCUUCCGUAACCACAAUACCACAAUAAUACACCCCCAAAUUUAACAUUGAUACAAUAAUAUUAUCUAAUGUUCCGUCCCUAUUUGUAUUUUCCCAGUUGUCUUAAUAAUGCGCUUUAUGGUUGCUGUUGGGUUUUUUCUUUGUAAAUGAUUGGGACCCUUUUCAGGAUUACACUUGGCAUUUAAUUGUCUUAGUCCUUCAGUCUUCCUUAGUGUAGAGCAGUCUCCGUAUUUUUUUGUUUCUUUCACGACACUGAUAUUUUUGAAGUGGCUGGGCCGGUUACCUUAUAGAAGGUUCCAUGCUGGAUUUGUCUGAUUGUCGCCUCGUGGUGUUUUGAGUCAAAUAUUUGUACCAGGAAUGUAAUGUUACACAGACGAUGCUCUGUCUCUUUCGUUGCGUCUUAUCAGGAGGUCCAUGAUGUCAGUUCUGUAUCCUGAUACAAUGUCACUGCUGCCACUGAAACAGAAGAGACGAAUGUUCUGGAAUGAAAUGUACUUAGGAGUUGGGGAAUCCGUUAAGAAGACAAAGACUCGUUUCUCAAGGCUGCCAGGACUGAUGCUACAGGAGCCGGUCAAUUUGUAUUGCUUAAGCCACAGCUUGGCUCUUCUUACGGGUAGAGGGUGGCAGGUAGUAUGAAAAUGAAGGACAUGCCCCUCCUCCCUAAGGCACCUCCUAGCACAAGAGAGACGCUAACAUGUAUGAAAGAAUUUUCCAGUGUGAUGGGAGAGAAUAUUUUUCAGCUUAGGACCAGAACCCAGAUGUGAGCAUGGCAAGAAUAGUGACUCAGGGGGUUGGUAAUUGGCACAGACCCCACUCUCCAUGUUUUGAUUUUCACUGCUUCCCAGUAUGUACUUACGAUUCUAAUUACGUCUGUUUCCUCCUUGCCUUCCACAUUCACUGUAGUCAUUCACAUUUCUAUUCCCUCCCUCAUGUUGACUCACCGGAGCCCUACCCUGCACUGCCC
rnacentral:lncRNA from 1 species